rnacentral:rRNA from 1 species
UGGGGAAUCUUGCACAAUGGGGGCAACCCUGAUGCAGCGACGCCGCGUGAGCGAUGAAGCCCUUCGGGGCGUAAAGCUCUUUCGACCGGAACGAUAAUGACGGUACCGGGAGAAGAAGCUGCGGCUAACUACGUGCCAGCAGCCGCGGUAAUACGUAGGCAGCAAGCGUUGUUCGGAGUUACUGGGCGUAAAGAGUGCGUAGGCGGUUUUCUAAGUUCGGUGUGAGAUCUCCCGGCUUAACUGGGAGGGUGCGCCGAAGACUGGGAUGCUGGAGUGUGGGAAAGGCAGGCGGAAUUCCUGGUGUAGCGGUGAAAUGCGUAGAUAUCAGGAGGAACACCGGCGGUGUAGACGGCUUGCUAGACCAUAACUGACGCUGAGGCACGAAAGCGUGGGUAGCAAACA